GGGGGCGCACUUGGUUUCGACGGGGAAGACCUUUUUGGGGCAUAAAGCGUGUGGUAGCCGGUUACCAUAAAACGGGUUAAAAAUAAACGCAGAUAAUAGAAAUCUUGCUGUUGCAGCUUAACAAAUAGCUCAACUGUUCCGGUUAGAUUCCCACGAUUUAACAAUGGAGCAUCAAAACAAGUGGGGAACUUUUCAAGAAAUGCCCAAAGCCUUGAAAAAGAACAAAUUGGGCUAGUUCAAUUUAAUUUUGUUUGUUGAGUUAAAUUGAAUUAAACAAUUUUCAAUAAACUACACACGUAGAAAAGCGCCACAAAGCUUUUUCGGACGUGGGUUCAAUUCCCACCGUCUCCACCA
rnacentral:tmRNA from 1 species